rnacentral:lncRNA from 1 species
UUUCUUUUUAGAGAGAGAAAGUGUGUGCAAGGAGAGGGAGAGGCAGAGGCUGAAGGAGAGAGAGAACCCUAAGCAGGAUCCACAUCCAAUUUGGAGCCUGACCCAAGGCUUGAUCCUACUACCUGAGCUGAAAGAAUCAGAUGCUCCAUCGACUGAGCCAUCCAGGCACCCCUCUUUGGUGUAUUUUCUAGCUGAAGCAGUCCCCAUCUCCAGGAGCCAGCUCUGUGGUCUUUUCUGUGGGCUUCACCCUUGUUCGCUGGGCCUUCCUGGUCACAGAAGUCUCAGCGGGAGAGUGGAGAGAGGAAGAAAAGAACAAGAAUCUGCAUUCACUUCUGUAGGAAAACUCUAGUUCCUCACUGGCUUUCACUCAGACUUGUGUUGAAACUUCUCUGCCCUGGGAAUGAAGAGAGCAAAAGAGGAAGCUUUGUGCCUCCCUUCAGAGACUGUAAGAACUGAGCGGAAGAUGUCUGCACUAGGUUGAACACUGCCCUCCCCCACUGUCCUCCCUGCAAGAUAUCCCCAUGGCCUGCCAUUGUGACCUUAUUUGGCAAAUGAACCUUUGCAGAUAUAAUUAAAUGAAAGAUCUCUAGGUGAGAUCAUUCUAGAUACUUUGGGUGAUCCCUAAAUCCAAUAGCAAGUGUCUUUAUAAGAGACACAGAAGGGACAGACAUACAGAGAGGAGAAGGCCAUGGACAUAUGGAGGCAGGGAUUGAAGGCAUGGAGUCCAUCCACGGCUAGAAGAGAUAGGAAGGAUUUGAAGGAGGCAUGACCAGACACCACCUUGAUUUCAUACUUCUGGAUUCCAGAACUCCAAGAGAACAGAUUUCUAUUGUGUUAAGCCAUUGAGUUUGUGGAGAUUUGUUACAAGCAGCUCUAGGAAUCAAUACAGUAUCCAAUCAACACCAAUCAUAAUGAGUACACAUACUGCUAACAAUAGCUGCUCUGUAUUGAGCAUGAAUGGAAGUUUCUGGAAGCUUCAAGUGAGAAGCUGGCUUCUCAUGCUAUUCCUAGCCUGUCCACCUUCAGCAAGCCUGACUGUGGUAUGAUUUAAAAAUCUAUUUUGUGGGGCACCUGGGUGGCUCAGUGGGUUAAAGCCUCUGCCUUCAGCUCAGGUCAUGAUCCCNNNNNNNNNNNNNNNNNNNNCGGGGAGCCUGCU